CUUUUCAGAAUUGGAGUUACAGUGCGACUUAAAAUGUCAUAAGGUACUAAUUGGCUAUGAGAGGAUGAGCCAUGGAAUCACGAAGCGCGCCGCCAAGCCCCGACGAGCCCGGGCAGGCGGUGUACGACAGUCGCUGUGGAAGGUUUCCACACCCUCCUACUCUUCAGCGGACAUUCGCGAGCUGCCGCGAGACCACACGUCCCCGUCCUCAUCACCGCCACGCUGCGUCAGAGCCGGCGCGGCCCGACGACCGGGUGCUAACCACGGCAGAAGUCCACGACUACCCAUCUUCGGAAUCUGGCAUUGCAGCCGAUUGCCCACAUCCUCAUACUAGUAACGCUGAUGAUAGCCCCUCCUAUGAUCGCUCAGACUAUGAAGGCAAUUCAAGUUAUAGUCUGAGACAUACACCAGAUUAUCAUCACACAUUAGACUGUAAACAUCGGCCUAUCGAUUAUAAUCGUAGUCAUACACCCGAUUACAAUCACGGUCAUGGGUCAGACUGCGACCGAGCGCACGCGCGCUCACAGACGUCUCGUCGGCCGCACAGAAAGCAUCGGCGAGAAGAAGACGACGGUGCUCAGUCACUUGAUGAACGAUGUGCUAGGGAUCUAGACGAAAUUCUACCAGCAAGACUAGCAGCUGUCAAUUUAUCACGAGAACCACCACCGCAGACAUGGAAUAGAAGCAACAUCGCAGCGACUAUGGAGCGAUUCGAACCAGUUGACUAUUCGUAUGCGUAUUAUGACCAUCACUUAUCUAUGCCCUCGUCGUCAAGGAAGGUAAACCGUCAACGUGGAAGAGGAGGUAUUCCGCGAGACAGGUCAUCACGUCAUAAUUAUGUUACGAGGUACGGCACCGAAGAAAACAUUUAUGAAGAAAUAACAGAUGGUUCUAGAACGUGUCCUAAGCAUCGUUAUGUCCCCCGACAGUCACUAGUUUCUUUAGAUAGAAGUGUAGUCGAAGAAGAAGUCCGUCGAGUAGAAUCCAGGCACAAACGAAUUUUGGGAGAGUUAAAUCUUAGCGUCGAGGCAAUGCUUAUGCCAGAAUGUGAAUCCCCCGAUUCGGAGCGGGCAGAAGACAGAGACAAUAUAGAGGAAUUAUUGCGAGUUGGACCGACGGAUGAGCUACUUUCACCGGCAAGCUGUAAUCCACCAGAUUUAGACAGCGGGUUUAGUGGCAGCAGUAGCGGUGCGAGUUAUGUCGGGAGUUUACGUCGUAAACCAACUGGAUCAGUGCCGCACUUACCCGCUGUAGCUUACGGCACACGAGGUGCAGGGGUACGAAUUCUAGGCGCAGACGAAUGCGGUCUACGAUGCCCUAAAGAUGUCCCAUCACCGCGCAGUUCCAGCUGCGGAGACGCAAAAACGAGCAGCUUUUGGAACAAAAAAGCUUGGAAGAAGAUAUCUGGGUUUUCUAGUUCUAACAGCAUCAACAAAGCCGGGCUUACUGGUCUGCUCGUUAGGUACACUUUCCGGCGUAAGUCCGGCUCGCAGGGCUCUCAGGGCAAGCGGCGUGCCGAGCCCGUCAAAUGCGAUGCGUGCCUCUCACAGCGAUGUUAGCCGCUCUAUGAUGACGCGGUUAGGCCAAGCAGAGCUAAAUCCAGAACAGCCACUAUACCGUACAGCUACUCCAACGGAAAACUGGUGGUGCCGCUGGAUUCCCUAGCACAGAGCUGAGGGGCCAGUCCCCCUCGGCAUUCCCGCCUCCAACUCCUCAGAGGGACUCCUCAACACCGCAGGCCAGCGGUAGACACCACCAGUGACGUAGUUCGACAACGAGCUAAGAACCAUUGUGUUACUUGAAACGUUUAAAGAAACAUUCCAUUUUACUUCAACAAUAGGUACGAGUAUCGUUAAUGCCACCUCAGCUAGUCUCAAAGACAAACUGUUCUUAGGUGUACCCAGUGUAAAUAUAGUGAACGGACAUUCAAAUAAUACUGUAGGAGAAACGGGGAGAGUAUACGUUGAAGUGAUAGAAAAGCCUAAAUUAAUUAUUUGUAUUGUUAUAACGAUCGUUUCAUAGAAACGUAAUGACUACAUUGUUGUUACUUAUCAAUUUUUAGUAGUUAAUAGGUACAUGAAAAGGCUGACAAAGUUGAAGAAUCUGAUUUUGUACAUGAUAUGAGCUGCCAUCUUAGCUAAUAUUUUAAUUUU